rnacentral:rRNA from 1 species
GUAGGGGAGCGUUCUGUAAGCCUGUGAAGGUGGCCUGUGAGGGUUGCUGGAGGUAUCAGAAGUGCGAAUGCUGACAUAAGUAACGAUAAAGCGGGUGAAAAGCCCGCUCGCCGGAAGACCAAGGGUUCCUGUCCAACGUUAAUCGGGGCAGGGUGAGUCGACCCCUAAGGCGAGGCCGAAAGGCGUAGUCGAUGGGAAACGGGUUAAUAUUCCCGUACUUGGUGUUACUGCGAAGGGGGGACGGAGAAGGCUAUGUUGGCCGGGCGACGGUUGUCCCGGUUUAAGCGUGUAGGUGUGUGUUCCAGGUAAAUCCGGUUCACUUUAACACUGAGGCGUGAUGACGAGGC